rnacentral:rRNA from 1 species
CAAUAGCGUAUAUUUAAGUUGUUGCGGUUAAAAAGCUCGUAGUCGGAUUUUGGCUGAGAACGAUCGGUCCGCCGUUAGGUGUGCACUGAUUGGUCUCAGCUUCCUGGUGAGGAGGUGUGCUUCACGGCCACUUAGUCACCGUGGUUACUUUGAAAAAAUUAGAGUGUUCAAAGCGGGCUUACGCUUGAAUAUAUUAGCAUGGAAUAACACCAUAGGACUCCUGUCCUAUUUCGUUGGUCUCGGGACGGGAGUAAUGAUUAAGAGGAACAGUUGGGGGCAUUCGUAUUUCAUUGUCAGAGGUGAAAUUCUUGGAUUUAUGAAAGACGAACUUCUGCGAAAGCAUUUGCCAAGGAUGUUUUCAUUGA